AAAAAGAUAAGCUAAGUAAGCUAUUAGGUUCAUACCCUAAUUAUGGGAACCCCCUCCUCCCUCUUUUUA
rnacentral:tRNA from 1 species